CCUACGGGUGGCAGCAGUAGGGAAUAUUGCUCAAUGGGGGAAACCCUGAAGCAGCAACGCCGCGUGGAGGAUGAAGGUUUUAGGAUUGUAAACUCCUUUUGUUAGAGAAGUUUAUGACGGUAUCUAACGAAUAAGCACCGGCUAACUCCGUGCCAGCAGCCGCGGUAAUACGGAGGGUGCAAGCGUUACUCGGAAUCACUGGGCGUAAAGGGUGCGUAGGCGGGGUAAUAAGUCAGAUGUGAAAUCCUUUAGCUUAACUACAGAACUGCAUUUGAAACUGUUACUCUGGAGUGUGGGAGAGGUAGGUGGAAUGCUUGGUGUAGGGGUAAAAUCCGUAGAGAUCAAGAGGAAUACUCAUUGCGAAGGCGACCUGCUGGAACAUUACUGACGUUGAUGCACGAAAGCGUGGGGAGCAAACAGGAUUAGAUACCCCUGUAGUC
rnacentral:rRNA from 1 species